rnacentral:rRNA from 1 species
UACGGAGGGGGCUAGCGUUGUUCGGAAUUAUUGGGCGUAAAGCGCACGUAGGCGGCUUCUCAAGUCAGGGGUGAAAUCCUGGAGCUCAACUCCAGAACUGCCUUUGAUACUGAGAGGCUCGAGUCCGGGAGAGGUGAGUGGAACUGCGAGUGUAGAGGUGAAAUUCGUAGAUAUUCGCAAGAACACCAGUGGCGAAGGCGGCUCACUGGCCCGAUACUGACGCUGAGGCACGAAAGCGUGGGGAGCAAACAGG